rnacentral:rRNA from 1 species
AUUGAACGCUGGCGGCAUGCUUUACACAUGCAAGUCGAACGGCAGCGCGGGCUUCGGCCUGGCGGCGCGUGGCGAACGGGUGAGUAAUGCAUCGGAACGUGCCCAGCAGUGGGGGAUAGCACGGCGAAAGCCGGAUUAAUACCGCAUACGACCUGAGGGUGAAAGCGGGGGGCCGAAAGGCCUCGCGCGAUUUGAGCGGCCGAUGUCGGACUAGCUAGUUGAUGGGGUAAAUGCUUACCAAGGCGACGAUCCGUAGCUGGUCUGAGAGGACGACCGGCCACACUGGAACUGAAACACGGACAAGACUCCUACGGGAGGCAGCAGUGGGGAAUUUUAGGCAAUGGGGGGAACCCUGACACAGCCAGGCCGCGUGCGAGAAGAAGGCCUUCGGGUUGUAAACCGCUUUUGUUCGGGAAGAACUCCUCUGGGCUAAUACCCCGGGGGGAUGACGGUACCGGAAGAAUAAGCACCGGCUAACUACGUG